GGAUGCGAUCAUACUAGCACUAAAGCACCGGAUCCCAUCAGAACUCCGAAGUUAAGCGUGCUUGGGCGAGAGUAGUACUAUGAUGGGUGACCUCCUGGGAAGUCCUUGUGUUGCAUUCC
rnacentral:rRNA from 1 species